rnacentral:rRNA from 1 species
UACGUAGGGGGGCAAGCGUUGUCCGGAUUUAUUGGGCGUAAAGAGCGUGUAGGCGGCCAUACAGGUCAGCUGUGAAAACUCGAGGCUCAACCUCGAGACGUCGGUUGAAACCGUAUGGCUAGAGUCCGGAAGAGGAGAGUGGAAUUCCCGGUGAUAGCGGUGAAAUGCGCAGAUAUCGGGAGGAACACCAAUAGCGAAGGCAGCUCGCUGGGACGUUACUGACACGUGAGGC